GGGAGCACACCUGGGCACACACCUGUCCGAGGAGGCGGACCUGGAGGACUACGUGGCGCGGCCGGACAAGAUCUCGGGGGCCGACAUCAACUCCAUCUGCCAGGAGGGCGGCAUGCUGGCCGUCAGGGAGAACAGGUACAUCGUGCUGGCCAAGGACUUUGAGAAGGCGUACAAAACCGUCAUCAAGAAGGACGAGCAGGAGCACGAGUUCUACAAGUGACACCUGGGGACACGCGGGGACACCUGGGGACACCUCAAGGACACCUGGGAACACCUGGGGACACCCCCGGGGACACCUGG